CAGGCUUUGAUGGCCUGUCCAGCCUGUGGUCCCCAAGGCUCUGAAUUAUUCCGCCUAAGAACCAGGCAGUGAGUCGCAUGUCUGCCCCAGGCCGCAAAAUAGAUUAUCUUUUUUUUUUUUUUACUAGCUGUCCCUUGUUAACUUAUAAUUGCGAUCAUGUAACAUUUAAUAGAAGCACAAAGCAAUCUUCUUUGCCGGCCCACAGUCAUUCAUUAGCUAACAAGAUGGAGCGCCUCAUAAAAAAGAGCCAUUAAAAAAAAAAAAUUCCGGAGAAAUGGAAAGCGGGUGGUGAUGCAAGCCCUGGUUAACAAAGACAGGAGGCUGGGGGAGGCGGAUCGGGUGUGAGCUGAAUAACCCAGUCCUGAUAAGCCACAAAGCGGAGCCGGCUGCUCCUCCUGCCGCUGCCUGACUCAGAGAAGCAGGGAUGUGUUGGAAAUCCAGCAAUGUAAUUAGCAGGUUGCAUCAUGCCUCCAUUAUAAAUUACAAUGGGCACAAAGAGGGUGGAUGGAGGGGCAGGGAUUAGAUGGGGUAACCUGAUCCCCAUGCCAGAGGGGCGGGCAGAGAGCUCAGGACCUACCACCCGGACACUCAGCGACCUGAGUAGCCUCCACCUCCCUGUGGCACAGGACUGGGGAGUGGGGGGGGGGGGCAGGAACUAGACCUGCUCAAUGGCUGCUUUGUACAGCUCGGGAGAAUGAUUUACUAACCAGAGGAAUCAGGAGGUGUGAAAGAGGAUGGCCCUCUUAACCCUGCCAUUGUCUCCUGUCUCCUGGAAUGUCCUCUGGCUCCACCCACCCAUGCACCUGUGCACACGGUGGGUCCUGGGGAGGGAUGAACACCAGAGGGAAGACGAGGAAACAGCUGCCCUAAAGUUCAAUGAACUCGGCUCCCUCUUGAACGGAAAACCACAGAGCCGAGGCAAUUGCCCAGUAGCAAACUUUCUUUGAACACAGCUUGGCUGUUGGAGAGUGUGGUUCUGCAAGAAGGGUGUAGGAGAGACAACGCAGCUGCCCCUGGGCCACCAACCACCCUCAGUCACUCCCAGGCCUCUCAUCUCUGUGGGCCCCAGCAUCCUCAACAAACCAGGAAAAUGGGACACUGGUAAAGGGCAGGGAGUGAGCUGCCAUCUCAGCCAUCACUGCCCUCCCUUGGAUCCCAGCCCUGUCUGUCCCCUAUCUCUUUAUUAGACACCCUGCUAAAUAUCGAGUCUGAUCACACUAUGUUCCUGCUUAAAGGCAGUAGAAACGACAGCUCCGAAGUGUCACUCCAGUUCCUCUAGAUUGGUUGGUCCUGUCCCAGCCGACCCCAGGUUACCUUGCACCUCCAGGCCUUUUGUACAAGCUGUUCCAGAGUUCCAUUGCCUGUCUCUGUGGUCAACUGAUAAAUUCAGGUUCAGCCCUUAGAACCUCAAGCCAGCAUCACCUCCUCCCAGAGGCCCUCCUCUAGUCUAUACCCUACUCCUCCACAAACUUGGAGAUGGUCCUGUCUUCCCCUUCUACCUGUACUCCGAACUCCCUGGAGGAGGAGCCAUGGGUUGACACGCAGCCAGGGCCGCAGGUACAAUACCCACUAGACCAUCUCCUCAGCCCGAAGACUGCUCUUGAAGGCUCCAUGGUGUCAGAUUCCCUGAGGACCGGCUAUCCACGCUUGAGUAUAAAAGCUGGCCUUGUCCCCACAAGCCUGGCGUGACCUAUGGCUGUUCUGGCCACCCACGAGGGUUGCAGCCUGAGUAGACAGAAGUCCAAAAGUCAAGAGGCCAGGCUUGACCCUGGGGAGGACAGCUGGCUCCUGUGGAGAAAACUUCCCUGGACCUGGAGGAAGUCAGCCCAGGCCUGGCUAGGCAGGAGUGGACAGUGCUCGCCACCUAGGUUAUAAGCUAAAUGCUGUGGCCGCACGACCAGGUGAACACUUUGAAAACCUACAAGCAGAAGAUGAGCUCAAGAGAUCUCUCCAACCAAAGUUUCCCUGAGCGUCAGGCACCAGAGCACUGGUUUCCUCUCAGCCUGUCAGAUCCAGACACUGAGGCUGUAGUUGGCGCAGGAUCAAGUGGUUUCCCAAGUUGUACUUCUUCCAUCUGCAAAGAAAGACAAGAAAAGCCCCACCCAGAGCUCUCAGGAGCCAAGGCCUCCUGGAGGGAGCAAGGGAGCAUGGGAAGGAGCUGAGGCCAGGCUUCUGGCAAGGAACUCAGGUCUGAACACAGACGUAGUGAGCUGGGGAACCUGGGCUGGGCACAGCAGACAAUGGGUCCCGCAAGCCUUGCUUCUCAUCCACUUUUUUCUCUGCUCCCCCUUCAUUCCUUCUGUUGUUUGUCUAGGAGCCAAGCCCUUUGGAGUCCGGCAUCAGCACUGUCCCUCUACACUUCCUCUUUCCUUCCUGGGUCCUCAGUGCCUGCUGUGUGCCAGGCCCUGGGCCCACCAUUGUCCCGGUCUCCAUGGUCCCUGGAGAGGGCAGAAAUGGGCAGAAACUUGGUGGCAUGUAUUCACAGAGUCAGUCCACAUCCCAAAGUCUCCCAUAGUAGGUGCCAGAACCACAGAGAUGACCAAGCUAUACACUGCCUGCAGCCAGUUCAGGCUAGCUGAGGACAUAAGUGGGAACUCUUACUUCCAAGCCCCAACAGCUGUGAGAAUGGGAACAGGAAGUGGGGGGAGAGUGCUGUUGAUCCCCAGAGGGAGCCGGCUUUGCCUCUGAAUGUGUGUUUAGUCAUUCAUUUAUUUCAUCAGGCGUCUGUUAUUGAGCAUCUGUGGCCUGGACGGUGCUGGGAACAGCCAGGGGACUAUGAGGAAGGCAGGCUUUCCAAUGGGCAGACCACUCUUUAUAGAGACAGGCUGAGCCUGUGGUAGAGACUGCAGGGGCCUGGGCAGCAGCAGAUGUGUGAGCCUCAACAGGGGUUAGGACAUGGGGGCAUUCUGAGUUGUAGACCGGAACAGGUAGACCAGACCCUGUGGUGGGAGGCUGGCUUCUGGGUUAUUCUGUGUUCCAGUUCUACCCAGGGUCAGACCACCAGGGGCAAAUAGAGGCAGGACAUAGAGUGGGAAGGCUGGGUCUCUGAAACAGCAGGAAGACCUAUACUCUAUCCAAGAACAUAUGCAGGACCUUUGGAAAUGAGUCAUUAGAACAGAGGGCUUCAUUGUGAAGAUUCUCUGGAGCCAGGACUUCCUCAUCUGCCCCACCCUGGGGCAGAUUUACAUGUCUAUUUACAUGUGUUUGCAUAAAG
ensembl:lncRNA